rnacentral:rRNA from 1 species
UAAGCCUAGGGAGUCUUGUAAUGAGGAGAAUUAGGCGAAAUCGUGAUGGUGCCUCCGUAUGGAGACAUUUUUUAAUUCCUGGGGUCCGUGAAAAGGUAGUGAAAAGGAUCCAUCGUGUUCGUACCAAGAACUGACACAGGUGCCCCUAGCUGAGCAAGCUAAGGCGUGUCGGAGCAAUUCAGUCAAGGGAAUUCGGCAAAUUAGCCCUGUAUCUUCGGUACAAAGGGUGCCUGCUCCGUGUAGGAGCAGGUCGCAGUGACAAAGGGGCUUCGACUGUUUAAUAAAAACAUAGGUAACUGCAAGCCCGUAAGGGUGUGUACAGUUGCUAACUCCUGCCCAGUGCCGGUAAGUCAAAACUCAGUUCAAUGGGUCUAAGCUCCGGUAAACGGCGGGGGUAACUAUAACCCUCUUAAGGUAGCGUAAUACCUUGUCGCUUAAUUGGCGACUUGCACGAACGGAUGAACGAGAGCCCCACUGUCCCUGACUGAAGUCCGGUGAACCUGUUAUGCUGGUGCACAGACCAGCGUCUCCCAAGGGGUAAAGAAGACCCCGUGGACCUUUACUGCAGCCUGUCGUUGUAGUAUGGUUGUGGAUGUAGAGCGUAGGUAGGAGCCAUCGAAGUACUCGCGCCAGCGAGUAUGGAGGCGUCAAUGGAACACUACCCAUCCAUGUCUGUACCGCUAACCUCUUCGGAGGGACAUCGGUAGGUGGGCAGUUUCGCUGGGGCGGCAGCCCCCUGAAAAAAUAUCAGGGGGGCUCUAUGGUCAGCUCAACCGGGUCAGAAAUCCGGUGUAGAGUGUAAGGGUAAAAGCUGGCCUGACUGGAAUUCGCACAGAGAGAAUUCCAGGUGCGAAAGCAGGACCUAACGAACCUCCGUGUGCUCCUCGAUGGGGCCCGGAGAUGACAGAAAAGGUACCUCGGGGAUAACUGAGUUGUCGCGAGCAAGAGCUCAUAUCGACCUCGCGGCUUGCUACUUCGAUGUCGGCUCUUUCCAUCCUGGGUGUGCAGCAGCACCCAAGGGUGGGGUUGUUCGCCCAUUAAAGGGGAUCGUGAGCUGGGUUUAGACCGUCGUGAGACAGGUUUGUUUUUAACUCUUGGGAGUGUAGGUUGCCUGAGGGGAAGGUCCAUCUAGUACGAGAGGAACGGUGGGCCGCGGCCUCUGGUCGAUCGGUUGUCCGAGGGGGCAUGCCGAGCAGCUACGCCGUAUGCGGAUAAGCGCUGAAAGCAUCUAAGCACGAAACCGCCCUCGAAAAUAGGCAACCACUUUCUACCAGUUUUCUCUUGCAUUUGUUAAGGGAAAAAGAUGGGACAGGUGACUGUAACAUUUGGUAGAAACAAAGACACCCGUAGAAGACGGGGUCAAUAGAGCUGGGGUGUAAGUACGAAGCUUUUGCGACGUAUUCAGCCCGCAGCCACUAAUAGUCUAAGGUAUCCUUU